GAUGAACGCUAGCGGCAGGCCUAAUACAUGCAAGUCGAACGCGGGGUAGCAAUACCUCGAGUGGCGCACGGGUGCGUAACGCGUAACCAACCUGCCCUUGACUGGGGGAUAGCCCGCCGAAAGGCGGAUUAAUACCGCAUAAACCAGCAGCCUGGCAUCAGGCAACUGGUAAAGAUUUAUUGGUCAAGGAUGGGGUUGCGUGACAUUAGCUAGUUGGCGGGGUAACGGCCCACCAAGGCGACGAUGUCUAGGGGACCUGAGAGGGUGAUCCCCCACACUGGCACUGAGAUACGGGCCAGACUCCUACGGGAGGCAGCAGUAGGGAAUAUCGGGCAAUGGGCGAGAGCCUGACCCAGCCAUGCCGCGUGCCGGAUGAAGGCCUUCUGGGUUGUAAACGGCUUUUCUCAGGGAAGAAAAAGGGUAUGCGUACCACACUGACGGUACCUGAGGAAUAAGCACCGGCUAACUCCGUGCCAGCAGCCGCAGUAAAAC
rnacentral:rRNA from 1 species